GGCUAUAGCUUGGCCAAUCUAAUAAUGUCAUAUUUUGGGUCCGAAACCAGGCCUGUGAAUGCUUUGAACGAUGUUUUCGGUCGUUGUCCUGGUGGAAAAUCCAAACGUUUCUAUAGAACACGUGAGCAGAUGGAAGUGAGGUGAGGUGAAAUUGGGUUUUACGUCGUACUUGAGAAUA